AUGUCUGCUCCUGCCCAGAGCCUUGAGGAGCCGCCUUCAACGCUGGUGGCUGAACCUGAGGAGACCCAGGGCCCCCCCAGGCUCAGGCCGGGAUCAGACUGCACACAUGGAGGAGAAAGCAGAAGCUUAGAGAAACGCCAAGAAUCCCUCUGUGCUCUGUUCCAGACUGUCCAAGGUUCUGACACCUCAUACCCCUUCUGGAAGCAAUGGCUGUCCCGCCAGCAGACCAGACCCCUUGGAGGCACAGUCCUCUUCUUUGGCCCCUCUGAAAGACUACACCUCAGGUCUGGAUUCCUGUGUCAGAGGAACAGAAAGGCUCUUUCUGUGGAGAGUUUGGCAUGGUGGCCUUCCUGUCACUGGGCCUGGUUCUGUCUUGGGGGUUUUCUGUCCCUGGCCGGAAGUAGCCUUUGCCGCGUCCUUGAGAGGAGGACUUGA
rnacentral:lncRNA from 1 species